UGGGGAAAUUGCACAAUGGGCGGAUGCCUGAUGCAGCGACGCCGCGUGAGGGAUGACGGCCUUCGGGUUGUAAACCUCUUUUAUCAGGGACGAAAAGUAAGUGACUGAACCUGCAUUAGUAUCACCGGCCAACAAUAAG
rnacentral:rRNA from 1 species